UACGAAGGGGGCUAGCGUUGUUCGGAAUUACUGGGCGUAAAGCGCACGUAGGCGGAUUUGUAAGUCAGGGGUGAAAUCCCGGGGCUCAACCUCGGAACUGCCUUUGAUACUGCAAGUCUCGAGACCGGAAGAGGUGAGUGGAAUUCCUAGUGUAGAGGUGAAAUUCGUAGAUAUUAGGAAGAACACCAGUGGCGAAGGCGGCUCACUGGUCCGGUUCUGACGCUGAGGUGCGAAAGCGUGGGGAGCAAACAGGAUUAGAAACCCU
rnacentral:rRNA from 1 species